UCUCCUCCAGGUGUAUGCUAGGCUGUGGAGUGUGCCCGGGCAAGGGGAAGACCACUGACAAUCUCUUGUAAGAGCAUCCCUGGUCCAGUGGCUGAGGAUGACAUUUCCAAAGCAGGCUAUGGAAAUCAGGUGGCCACAUGGCAAUGGGAGGUGGACCUCAGCUCAGAAAUAAUACUUUAAUGUGUUAUUGGCUUUCUGAGCCUCUCCCUGUGUAUAAUUGCAACCAUC